CCCUUAGGGUGUGUUUGGUUGGUUAUUGGAAUGGGUAUGAAAUGGUAUGAGAACCCAUUCUAAUGUUUGGUUGUCUAAUUUUACAUUGGGUUCUCAUACCAAAAGGUUUCCCAUACCCUUAUUUUCCCUAAUAUCCCAUACCCUCCUAACCCCUAAAGUUUCAAUAUCCAUUCCUCCCAUAUACAAACCCUAAUUCCUAAUCUUUGCUGCUCUUCAAUCUUCAUCUCCACGAGUUCUUCUCUGAUUCUCCUUCAAUCUUUUGGAUCUUCCUGCUCCUGCUCCUGCUCUUCAAUCUUCCUCCGUACUCUCUUCUUCCUCCGUUCGCUGAAACUCAAUUUUCCAAAGAAAUGAAAACAACCCAGGAAUUUCAAGCAAUUUCUCAAGAUUUCUGAAUGAACCAAUAAAUUUUCGAUCAUAAACAGGAAGAUUAAGGAAAAACGCAAGCACAGAAGCUCCAGAAGCAAUGAAAAAGUAAGUCGGUAUUUUCAGAGAUUGUGAAACUUCAACAGCAGAAUAGCAGAAAAAAUCAAUAAUAAAUGCAGAUAUAGUACAAGUUUCGGAAACAGAUUGAAUCGAUUGAAGAAGAGUAGGGUUGUUAUUACGAAGAGUUUCGAACAUAACUUGUUCUUCGUCGGCGUAAUUUGAGAGAUUUCGAAGAAGAAGAGGAACAGGAGGAUGAGAAAUGAAAGUUAUGGAUGGAAAAGAGGAAGAAACAGAAGAGAUGUAAGAAGAAUAAGUGUCGGAAUUGUUGAAGGGAGAGUUGGGAUGAUGAUAGUAAUGGAGGUGGGCGAAGAAGAUUUGGUUAACAAAAGUUUGCCAAGUUCAACCAUGGAGAUUAAGUGGCCUAUGAUGGUGCUGGGUACAUCACUAUUUUAUCCUCCAUUGUUAUGAAAUUCAAGCUUUGAAGAAAUAAAUGGAGGAUUUAGUUUGAUUGGUGAACUUUUUGAACCAUGAAAUAAUUAAAUGAUUGUAUUGUGGGUGUGUAUUUAUUUAAUUUUCUCUUAGGAGUAAAAACGAAAAAGACUUGAAAUUGAAACAACCAAAUAUGUGUCAAGGAUUGUGUGAUUUAUACAGUAUUAGUAUUUCCUUAGUCA